AUAGCGAGGAAAAGAACCCACCGGGGUUUCCCCUAGUAACGGCGAGUGAAGCGGCAACAGCUCAAAUUUGAAAUUUGGCCUCGGCCCCGAGUUGUAAUUUGCAGAGGAUGCUUCUGGCGCGGUGCCUUCCGAGUUCCCUGGAACGGGACGCCACAGAGGGUGAGAGCCCCGUAUGGUCGGACACCAAGCCUGUGUGAAGCUCCUUCGACGAGUCGAGUAGUUUGGGAAUGCUGCUCUAAAUGGGAGGUAAAUCUCUUCUAAAGCUAAAUACCGGCCAGAGACCGAUAGCGCACAAGUAGAGUGAUCGAAAGAUGAAAAGCACCUUGAAAAGGGGGUUAAAUAGUACGUGAAAUUGUUGAAAGGGAAGCACUUGUGACCAGACUUGGGCCGGGCGGCUCAUCAGGGGUUCUCCCCUGUGCACUCCGCCCGGCACAGGCCAGCAUCGGUUCUCGUGGGGGGAUAAGACCGUCAGGAACGUAGCACCCUCCGGGGUGUGUUAUAGCCUGGCGGACGAUACCCCCGUGGGGACCGAGGUUCGCGCUCCGCAAGGAUGCUGGCGUAAUGGUCACCAGUGACCCGUCUUGAAACACGGACCAAGGAGUCGUCCAUUAGAGCGAGCGUUUGGGUGUAAAACCCGCACGCGUAAUGAAAGUGAACGCAGGUGAGAGCUUCGGCGCAUCAUCGACCGAUCCUGAUGUUCUCGGAAGGAUUUGAGUAAGAGUUUUAACGGACGGACCCGAAAGACAGUGAACUAUGCUUGUAUAGGGUGAAGCCAGAGGAAACUCUGGUGGAGGCUCGCAGCGGUUCUGACGUGCAAAUCGAUCGUCAAAUAUGAGCAUGGGGGCGAAAGACUAAUCGAACUGUCUAGUAGCUGGUUACCGCCGAAGUUUCCCUCAGGAUAGCAGUGUUGAUCUUCAGUUUUAUGAGGUAAAGCGAAUGAUUAGGGACUCGGGGGCGCUAUAUAGCCUUCAUCCAUUCUCAAACUUUAAAUAUGUAAGAAGCCCUUGUUACUUAGUUGAACGUGGGCAUUCGAAUGUACCAACACUAGUGGGCCAUUUUUGGUAAGCAGAACUGGCGAUGCGGGAUGAACCGAACGCGGGGUUAAGGCGCCAGAGUGUACGCUCAUCAGACACCACAAAAGGCGUUAGUACAUCUUGACAGCAGGACGGUGGCCAUGGAAGUCGGAAUCCGCUAAGGAUGGGUAACACUCCCUGCGA
rnacentral:rRNA from 1 species